rnacentral:rRNA from 1 species
AGUGAACGCUGGCGGUAGGCCUAACACAUGCAAGUCGAACGGCAGCACAGUAAGAGCUUGCUCUUACGGGUGGCGAGUGGCGGACGGGUGAGGAAUACAUCGGAAUCUACUUUUUCGUGGGGGAUAACGUAGGGAAACUUACGCUAAUACCGCAUACGACCUACGGGUGAAAGCAGGGGAUCUUCGGACCUUGCGCGAUUGAAUGAGCCGAUGUCGGAUUAGCUAGUUGACGGGGUAAAGGCCCACCAAGGCGACGAUCCGUAGCUGGUCUGAGAGGAUGAUCAGCCACACUGGAACUGAGACACGGUCCAGACUCCUACGGGAGGCAGCAGUGGGGAAUAUUGGACAAUGGGCGCAAGCCUGAUCCAGCCAUACCGCGUGGGUGAAGAAGGCCUUCGGAUUGUAAAGCCCUUUUGUUGGGAAAGAAGAGCAGCAAGUUAAUACCCCGCUGUUCUGACGGUACCCAAAGAAUAAGCACCGGCUAACUUCGUG